UCAAAACAUGGAUUAGAUACCCGUCUAUUCAUGAUCUAAAAUAAUAGUCGAAUAUUACGAACCACAGUUUAAAAUUCAAAGAUCUUGGCGGUGUCUUAUAAAACCAGGGGAACCUGUCUCAUAACUCGAUAAUCCACGAUUACCCAACCUUCUCUAGAAACCCAGCUUGUAUACUGCCGUUGUAAGCAUACCUUUAAAAGAAUAAGUGUGCUGCUAUGAUCAAACUCAUAAUUUGACUCAUACACAUCAGGUCGAAGUGCAGUCAAUGAAAAGGUGCUGAUGGGUUACAACCUAAAAAAAGAUAUGAAUUAAAAGAUAAAAAAUUUUAUGAAAGUGGACUUGACUGUAAUUAAACAACACACUAAAAAAAUGAAAACAAAUCUAAGACAUGCACACAUCGCCCCUCACUAACCAAAAGUUG
rnacentral:rRNA from 1 species